AUCCGACUGACGAGUCCCAAAUAGGAUGAAAUCUGUCUGUCUGGAU
rnacentral:hammerhead_ribozyme from 1 species